CACCCCUACCCCUCCCACCCCUCUGGGUUUUCGGGGAGCCCGGGUUGAGCACCCUUGCUAUACAGCAGCUUCCCACCAGCUAGCUAUUUCGCACGUGCCAGUUACGUUUCCAUGCUACUCUCUCAGUUCAUCCCACCCUCUCCUUCCCUGCUGUGUCCACAAGCCCAUACAAGUGCAGUUUUAUCUGGGGCAGAAGGAAGACUGAAUCAUGGAGACAGCGUUUCAGACAGCCCGAGAAGCUGCUCUGAGGAGGUAGGAUACAUAGAAGUCUUGCAACAAAGGACAGGUGGUUGGGAGCAUCACCAGACUGCUGAUAUUGAAUAGGCCAGAUAUCCCAAGUUAAGCAAUUUAGUGUUUUUCUCUGUACGGGAAGAUUCAAGAGUCUGGACUCACUGGAGUCAUUCCCUUGUUAUGCACCUCAGCUAACUCAGACAGGAUCCUGUAUUUCCACACCCUGGGUUUCCUCAGGGCGUGGCUGUAGUCUGACGGCUGCUGUGCUUAGUCACUCAGUCCUGUCAGGCACUUUGCAACCCUGUGGACUGGAGCCCCCCAUGCCCCUCUGUCCAUGGAAUUCUCUAGGCCAGGAUACUAGAGUGGGUGGCUGUUCCCUCCUCCAAAGGAUCUUCUCUACCCAGGGAUUGAACCCAGGGCUCCUGAAUUGCAGGCGGAUUCUUUACCCUCUGAGCCACCGGGGAGCCCCUGGCAGCUGCUGGAUUACAGUAGGACCACUGGCACAAAGGAAGAGAAACAAACACACAUUUCAUUUGCUUCAAGGAUCGAAAAUCGCUGGAGUUAGGGGAAAGCUCUGUGACACGUGUUUCGGACUCGUAUCAGUAAUUCAGACAGGAAUAAUGUACGAGAGGAGUGUGGGAGUAUAAACACUCCUUUGCCGUCUAGAAUAAAGGUGUGCUCAGCAAACCACACCAAACUUUAGUACUUAAUGGAAAGAACACGAGGUGUAUUGGUAUUUAGAGCUAGUUGUGGAUACUGGAUUUCAUUGGCCAAAAUCUCUCCCUGGGGAAUGAAGGAUUUAUUCCUCCCAACGCAGAGGUUGUCCGCUGAGAGAUCGCCACACCCCUCUUUGAGAAUUGCCUCUACUGAAGAGUGCCACCUUGCCCAAGUGUGCCUGCUUCCCAGGGCAGCGCAUCACCCAUAAGUCCAGGGGUACAAAGGUCUGGGUCCCUCCUGGCAUGAUCAGGGUGAUGCCAGCCCCAGGGAUCCUCCUGGGCUCAGGGCUUAGCCGUAACUGCAUUGCAGCCUGACUUCUCCCCUGCCAGCCUCUCCUCCUGCCCUAUGUUUCCAACAAACAUCCUGCACAAAAUUCCUGAACCCAGCUUGCACCGCGGGGCUCUCAUCAGUGUAUGUGAAAGCACUUGGUAAACUCUAAAGAACUGUUUAAUCCCAAACCCCGACCUCAGAUCUUUCUGAAGGUUCUUCAGGCAGCUGCAAUUAGCUUUUGAUUAAAACCGUUAAACAAUUUUAUUGGAAGGGAAAGUUGGUGCCCUACAGAUUCUGUACUAUAUUGCCAGAAGGUUAUGCUAAGGUCAAACCAAGAGGUUGAUUCAAAUAAACUAGGAUUUUAUAGGCUUGUCAACCUUCAGGUCAACUUGAUCAUUAAAGAUGUUUUCAUUGCCUGAUUAUGGAGAGAAUGGGCUUCCCAGGUGGUGCUAGUGGUAAAGAACCCGCCUGCCAAUGCAGGAGACACAAGAGACGCUGGUUCAAUCCCUGGGUCAGGAAGCUCCCUUAGAGGAGGGCAUGGAAACCCACUCCAGUAUUCUUGUCUGGAGAAUCCCAUGGACAGUGGAGCCUGGUGGUCUGUGCAGUCCAGCGGGUCGCAAAGAGUUGGACAUGAUUGAAGUGACUUAGCACGAACGCAUGUAAGCACAGAUAAGGAGAAAAUAGAAAAAUGGUCAAAUGAUCAAAAAUUGUCAAGUGAUUUAAUUCUAAAAAACUGAAUUUGUAAAACCAGCAUAAAGCAUUAUUACCAUUUCUUUUCAGUUCACUCACUCAACAAGAAAUUAUUGAGGAUCUCUUACGCUAUGGGAGAGAGAGAGUAAUAUGAGAUAUGGAUUGCUCUUCUCGUCAUUGUAUAAGGGAGGAAAUACAUGUGCCUAUUAUAUGAUUAACAAAACAAAAUCAUAUUGGGUUGGCCAGAAAGUUUGCUCAAGGUUUUCCAUAAGAUCUUAUGGAAAAAUCUGACCAAAGUUUUUGGCCAACCCAAUACGAAACAAAAAGAUACAGGAAUUUAGAAAAAACAAAUAACGUUGAGUUGUGGUGACUGGGAAAUGUUUCAAGGAUUACACAGUAUUUGAAUAAAGCCUAGAACACUAAGCAGAGAUGAUUGGGAAAGGAUGUGGUAAGCAGGGAAAAGAAUUGUUCACUCGCUGAGUCCUGUCUGACUCCUUGUGACCCCAUGGACUGCAGCACGCCAGGCUCCCCUGUCCUUCACCAUCUCUCAGAGUUUGCUCAAACUCAUGUCCAUUGAGUCAGUGAUGCCAUCCAACCAUCUCAUCCUCUGUCGUCCCCUUCUCCUCCUGCCUUCAAUCUUUCCCAGCAUCAGGGCCUUUUCAAAUGAGAAAAGAAUAGGACCAAGAUAUGGAUGUGAAGAAAUGUAAGUAAUAUUGUAGCAUAGCCUAUCGACCUCCCACACCAUAGGAGAGGUAGCUUGGGGUCAGAUGAUGAGAGUCUUGAAUAACAGGAUGAGAAGCUGGAAGUUUCUUUAGGAGCCAGUGUGUGGCUCCUGAAGGUUUCUGAGAAUGGCCUUGGAAGGAAGGUGGAGUGGCCUGAGAACAAAACCCUGGAGAUGAGAGGGUGAGCCAGGCAAACUUCCUGGUUCAUGAAGCCUGAUUUUAAUAUUGCUCUCCAUCUACCCACCAGCCUAGCCUCCCAGCAGCUCUCCAGAAUGAGAAACUUGGUUAAAGGGCUUGAUUAAAAGUGAGGACACCUUUUUUUCCCAUCUAGAUUGGCUUUAAAAAUGUAGAAUUUCAAUUUUAUUUGGGCAGUGUCUUUAAAUUGUAUUCCCAGCUGAAACAACUAGCCAGUAAUAAAAAGAAUUUCCCAUGAAACUGUAACUGAAGCUCAGAAUUGAAUUUUCCCAUUGUUUUGUGCCCAAGUAUAGUUGUUCCAAUAUCUGCCUGUUGAGGGAGAAGACCUUAAACAAAUAUGUACACAGCAGGACCUUGGUCCACCGGUGAGUCAGUGCCAGAAGCCUCACACUCCCACCCUGGGAACUUCCCACUGGGUUUCUUUUUGAAAUGACAGUGUUUUGGGUGCUGCAUAAAUUUACAAGUGAUUCUCUAGAAGUGAGUUUCUCACAGAAGGCUGACUCAAUAGCUGUGUCUGGCACCUUCUUGCUAUCUGUGCUGAUUCCUCCUCACUUUGCAAAGACUUUAUUUAGAGCGUUUCCCAGAUCUUGUCUAAGCUGACCUAGGAAAGUAGUAAAAGUGUUAAUAUGUUUUUGAUGUUGAAUGUCUCCUCAUUCAACUUUUUUCUUCUUUUCUAAAGCACUCUGUAAUAUUUCAUGAGAUACCAAGGUAACAAUUACAGCAAGUCCCCUACACAGGAACCUUCAAGUGGCGAACUUUCAAGGGUGUGAAUGUGCUUCCCCUCAGCAUCACGCAUGAGUGAUGUUGCAGCUCGCCCGCUUCUAUUCCUGAUGAGCUUCUCAUCUCCCACCCUCUCCCUCCUCCGGUCAGUGGCUCUUCUUGCCUGUUUGUUUGAUGCCAGCCCUGUGUGCCCGCAGCUGUCCUGCACUACAGUACUUUUCAAGGUACUGUACUGUAAUACUAAAAACACCUUAUUUUUUGUGUUUAUCAUAUAUUAUUUGUGAGAAAAGUGUUAUAAGCUUGUUGUAGUACAGUACUAUAUAGCUGACUGUGUUAGCUGUGUACCCAGGCUAACUUUGUUGGACUUAUGAACAAAUUGGACUUGUGGAUACACUCUUGGAACAGAAUUUGUUCAUAUGUAGGAGACGUACUGUUAUGUCUUUCCGAAGUUCUAGGAAUUGCCACACAGCUGCUAUUUUUUGUGUUUGUAAAUAUCAGUGUUUAACAUGCAUGUAUGUGUGCUAAGUGCCUUCAGUCAUGUCCGACACUUUGCGACCUUUUGGACUAUAUAGCCCACCAGGCUCCUCUGUCCGUGGACUUCUCCAUGCAGGAACACUGGAGUGGGUUGCCAUUUCCUCCUCCAGCGGAUCUUCCCCACCUAGGAACUGAGCCAGCGUCUCUUACAUCUCCUGCCUUGGCGUGUGGGUUCUUUACCACUAGCACCACUUGGGAAGUCCAGUGUUUAGCAGACUUUAAAUUUAUUUUGUUACGACAAAAAUUCAAGAGCAACAGUCAAGAAAGCAAAAUAAACAUUUAAAAAUAAAUGAAAUCACAAAGAAGCAAAAGUAAUGCAGGCUGUCAAUGCCCGAUCCGUUUAAGGGAAGAUAAGAUCCUUUCUGGGAAAUGGAGUUAGGACAAAAAGUUGAAGGAGAGCUAGGAUUCUGAUAAGCUUGGACAAGUGGCAGACAUUUCUGAUAGGAACAGAAGGAGAAGGAGAAAAGUUUCCAAAAAGAGAUCAGUGAUAAGGGACACUUUGCAAAAAGGUAAAAGCAUAGCUGUUUCACAAUUUUAAAAUGAA
rnacentral:lncRNA from 1 species